CACGUAGGGUGCGAGCGUUGUCCGGAAUUAUUGGGCGUAAAGAGCUCGUAGGCGGUGUGUCGCGUCGGCCGUGAAAACCUGCAGCUUAACUGUGGGCUUGCGGUCGAUACGGGCAUCACUGGAGUUCGGCAGGGGAGACUGGAAUUCCUGGUGUAGCGGUGAAACGCGCAGAUAUCAGGAGGAACGCCGGUGGCGAAGGCGGUUCUCUGGGCAUUACCUGACGCUGAGGAGCGAAAGUGUGGGGAGCGAACAGG
rnacentral:rRNA from 1 species